GGAGUGGCAGGCACACCAGUGGGGUAAGGACCUGCAACUUAAACUAGUUCCAGAGUCCAGAAGUUCAGAAUCGGUAUCAUCACUGCGCAGAAGUCAGAUAUCAUCAGGCUCCAGGGGAGAAUCGUUUCCUCACCUUGCCCCCACCGGGCUUCCGGGGUCUGCGGCGGUUCAUCACUCCAGACAUCAAAGCCAGCAUCUUCAAAUCACUCUGCUCUGCCUUCAUGUUGCCUUCGCCUCUGUGUCACACCUCACUCUGCUUCUCUCUGACAAGGACACUGUGAUGCUACUUAGAUCCCACCUGGGGAUCUAAUCCAAUGGCAAAAAAGAUUCACUUAUCUGCUAGCUGCCCUUCCAGGCCUUGUGGAAUAGGAUCUGGAAGCAGAAUAGCAGUGUGAGAGAGAAGAGCGCAGCAGGGCUGAGGCCUGGUGAGAGCGCUCAUCCAAGGGACUCAGCAGCCCUGCUGGGCUUUAGGGGUGUGGGAUGGACACUUAGGACACUCACUGGAUGCUGUUCUAGGAGAGGGGUCAGCAAAUACAGACCACAGAGUGGCUGCCUGGUUUUGUAAAUAAAAGUCUCACUGGAAGACAGAUGUGCUGUUUGCUUCCAGACUGUGUCUAUGGUUUCUUUUGAGCAGAGUUGAAUAAACG
rnacentral:lncRNA from 1 species